UGUCUACACUGUCUUUGUCCGGCCACAAGGGAGUUGCACCAGCUGUACUAUAUUCUUUGUGGGGAAUCCAGCAAAAUUUUGAGGUGCCCUGUCCUAGGAGAAGCCUCAGCCACUUCUCUGUACAGGGGAAAAAAAAUCUAUCAAGUAGGAUGGAGUAUUCAUUCAUGGUGGGAAAUUAACAGCUGUUUCACUAACCUGCUUUUCGUAUUGAC